CUGCAGCAGCACGUCCCAACGUUUCCAUCUCUGUCACCGCCAAGUACUUGGGCAGCAGAAGCUGGAAGAACUCAGUUAUUGACAAAUCACUCCUCACAUGUGAAAUGCAAGCCCUUUGCCCUCCCCACUAAUGCCUGCCCUUCUUCAAGGGCUAUUGCAAGAAAUUUACCCAGAAUCAGUAAGCAAAAUCCAACAGAUUUUUGCAGCCUGACACUUGGAGGUAAAUGCACACAUAACUGGGUGAAAGCCGAAGAAGACCCUUCCACCUCCUCCUAGAAGCCCUGCAGCCACCCUGCCAUCCCUGCAAGCCCUGGACUCAGGAGGAGUGGGGAGAGAAGGAAAAGCCCCAUUUGGGAUCUCUGUAGAUGCAAAGCCUGUGGACAGAGCAAGCUGAGAGCCCUGCCAAAAUAAGGAGCCAGGACCUGUCUAUUGUCACCAUCCAGGACACCCAUGGAUGACCUGACGAGUUGUGGAGAUGGGGAGGCCAACUGCAUGUCAUGAGGGACUCCGUGUCAGCUUUGGGAUGCACAACCCUCUUCAUCCAGCUGAGAGGCAGCCUGGACCACAGUGCCCACAAAGAAAUGAAACUGGUUGCUAAGUCGUCAUUUCCCAGGCAAGCACUGAACUUUUCAUUCAACGAUGAGAAGAGGUGCUUGGCUGACAGUCCCGGAGACUGAAGAUCCCUGCUUGUGAUUAAUGGUAAAUACGCCACCCUUUUUAAGAAAGAUUGAGCCAAAGAAACCCCAGAGCUUUAAACAUAUGAAUCACUUGAAUCACAACUCUCAUUUGAAUACCUUCCACAAGCAAUAAAAAAAUGGCUUCGGUUUUAUUUUCCUUUACC
rnacentral:lncRNA from 1 species